rnacentral:lncRNA from 1 species
GAACAAGGGGUUUCCAUUCAGGCAGCUGGAGCACAUUAACAUGUGCUCCAGCUGCCUGAAUGGAAACCCCUUGUUCUAGAAGGACACUAGAGUCCUGUCCAGCAAUUCCAAGUGGGCAUCGGUGCCCACCACACUGUCCCCUCUGCUGGCAGGUGAUGGAAGACCAGUAUGGCCAGCAGAAACUCGUGCUGUCUCUUUGCCCCAGGGGACAGGGACAAGGUGCAGACAGCUCUCUGUCAGCUGGAUGACUCUCCAAGGCCAUUCUCAAGAAGCCUGAAGGAAAGCAGACCCCACACAGGGAGGAAGGGCGGCCUGGGAACAGCAGGAGAGGGUGCUUGUCCUUGUUUUGUUUUCCAUUAUAUCCCAGACAUGCCGGAGGAAAGCAGGCGGGGCGUGUGUGUACAUGUGCGUACCCCCAUCUCCAUCUCUCCCCAGGGAAGCCAGCUGCCCUGCCUGUGAGCAGCCCUGUGGAGAGGCCCAUGUGGUGAGGACCUGAUGCCUCCUGCCACCAGCCGCACCCGGGAGCUUACAGGGCCAUCACCGUCCUGAGUUUAUGCUCUUUCGAUGGAAAAGAGAAGGAAGACACAAAGAUACUUGCACACACCCGUGAACUUUGUGUUUCAGGCGGCUCCGUGUUGCAUGAUCGCAUCCUGAUAUCUGUUUCUCAGAAAGGCUCUGUGGCCUCGGGAGACACCGGCCGGGAGGGCCGGGCAUCGAGUGGCCGCAGGAUCGCUGCCAGAAGGCAGGUCCUCACCUCCUGGUCAUGAACCUCUGCGACCCGCUGCCAGCUUCGUGCCCAAAUCCC